GUGCCAGCCGCCGCGGUAAUACGGAGGGGGCUAGCGUUGUUCGGAAUUACUGGGCGUAAAGCGCACGUAGGCGGAUCAGAAAGUUGGGGGUGAAAUCCCCGGGGCUCAACCUCGGAACUGCCUUCAAAACUAUUGGUCUUGAGUUCGAGAGAGGUGAGUGGAAUUCCGAGUGUAGAGGUGAAAUUCGUAGAUAUUCGGAGGAACACCAGUGGCGAAGGCGGCUCACUGGCUCGAUACUGACGCUGAGGUGCGAAAGCGUGGGGAGCAAACAGGAUUAGA
rnacentral:rRNA from 1 species